UUCUUUGGACUUUUCCUCUAGGUUCGAUGCUAACUUCUGUGAACUCACACUGGCCCUUCUCUCCUUAACUUUCUCAAGGUUAUCCAUUCGUUUAAAAUACGGCUUCUGGU
rnacentral:lncRNA from 1 species